UUAAACUACACGAGCAGUGCAUGCAGCUAUCUGUGUGCGCUGAUAUUGUUUAAAGGUAAUACUUAUUCUUGGAAGGCAAGGCACAUCAUGUGAUAGAAAAUUUCGUGCAAAUUAGGAAACAUGGAACUUUUUUAAGGGCCAGGUCACAGAAAUCCUCGACUAAGCACCAUGCAAAGUUAGGAAGCUGGGGGCUGCCGGGUGCCCCUUCCCCUUCCCUGCCUACCCGCACCCUCAGGUUCCCGGCUGACAAGCUUCCGGAUACCCCAACUGCACGACCCACCCCUCCUGCCCUCCCCC
rnacentral:lncRNA from 1 species